GCCGGGCGUGAUGGUGCAGGCCUGUAAUCCCAGCAUCUUGGGAGGCUGAGACAGGAGGAUUGCUAGUUCAAAGCCAGUCUCAGCAAAAGUGAAGUGCUAAGCAACUCAGUGAGACCUGUCUCUA
rnacentral:sRNA from 1 species